rnacentral:rRNA from 1 species
AUGCACGCUGGCGGCGUGCCUAAUACAUGCAAGUCGAGCGAACAGACGGGGAGCUUGCUCCUCUGACGUUAGCGGCGGACGGGUGAGUAACACGUGGAUAACCUACCUAUAAGACUGGGAUAACUUCGGGAAACCGGAGCUAAUACCGGAUAAUAUAUUGAACCGCAUGGUUCAAUAGUGAAAGACGGUUUUGCUGUCACUUAUAGAUGGAUCCGCGCCGCAUUAGCUAGUUGGUAAGGUAACGGCUUACCAAGGCAACGAUGCGUAGCCGACCUGAGAGGGUGAUCGGCCACACUGGAACUGAGACACGGUCCAGACUCUUACGGGAGGCAGCAGUAGGGAAUCUUCCGCAAUGGGCGAAAGCCUGACGGAGCAACGCCGCGUGAGUGAUGAAGGUCUUCGGAUCGUAAAACUCUGUUAUUAGGGAAGAACAAAUGUGUAAGUAACUAUGCACGUCUUGACGGUACCUAAUCAGAAAGCCACGGCUAACUACGUG